rnacentral:tRNA from 1 species
GAAGACAUAGCUCUAGUGGUAGAGCGCAUGCUUAGAACGCACCAGGCCCUGGGUUCAAUCCCCAGUACCUCCC